CCAACGGCUCUCUUUAGAGCCACAAAGUCCAAUAAUCCUAUUUGU
rfam:Caenorhabditis brenneri strain PB2801 C_brenneri-6.0.1_Cont160.23, whole genome shotgun sequence.